AUAUAUAUCUAUAUCUAGCUCCGUAUAUAUAUAUAUAUAUAUAUAGAUAUCUCCAUAUAUAUGGAGAUAGAUAUAGAAAUAAAACAAGCAAAGAA
ensembl:miRNA MIR620 microRNA 620